CAAUGCAGAGUAGUAGUUUGGCUGCCAAUUUACCAGCUCUGUUGUAGGACAUACUCACGCGCUUCCUAAGAAAGAACUGAAAGCUGCUUCUUUGGCUGAGAAGGUUAAAGGACAUAACUGAAAAAAUACAGUUACCUUUCUGGAACAGAUUUACUGACAAUUAUCACUAGAGAAGAGAUGGAGUGAAUGCUUACCGAUGUACCGAGCGCAAGAAACUGCUGGACUUCC